CUGCAAACGCUGGAAGAGAAGUCACGUCCCCUAAUUCUUGGCAGGAAAGGACUUCUGUUUUUUAGCUGGGUGUACAACCGCCUGAAAUAAAGACUAUAUUUCCCAGCCUCCCUUACAGCCAGGAAAGGAAGAUGCAUGUGAUUGCUGGAGUUGGAGCAGCUACCUUGGAGCAUGAGGUAAAAGCUACAUGUUAAGGAUGAUCAAGCAAUAAGAAAGAAGUGAUCUGGGUUCCUGAUGUUUUUAGA